rnacentral:rRNA from 1 species
UACGUAGGGUGCAAGCGUUGUCCGGAAUUAUUGGGCGUAAAGAGCUCGUAGGCGGUUUGUUGCGUCGGCUGUGAAAUCCCGAGGCUCAACCUCGGGUCUGCAGUCGAUACGAGCAAACUAGAGUGUUGCAGGGGAGACUGGAAUUCCAGGUGUAGCGGUGAAAUGCGUAGAUAUCUGGAGGAAUACCGGUGGCGAAGGCGGCAUCCGUGGACCGACGAUUGACGCUGAACGGCGAAAGCUAAGGGGAGCAAACGGG